rnacentral:rRNA from 1 species
AGUCGUUGGGUUAAGUCCCGCAACGAGCGCAACCCUUGUCAUUAGUUGCUACGAAAGGGCACUCUAAUGAGACUGCCGGUGACAAACCGGAGGAAGGUGGGGAUGACGUCAAGCCCUCAUGGCCCUUAUGGGUAGGGCUUCACACGUCAUACAAUGGUCGGGACAGAGGGCUGCCAACCCGCAAGGGGGAGCCAAUCCCAGAAACCCGAUCGUAGUCCGGAUCGCAGUCUGCAACUCGACUGCGUGAAGUCGGAAUCGCUAGUAAUCGCGGAUCAGCAUGUCGCGGUGAAUACGUUCCCGGGUCUUGUACACACCGCCCGUCACACCAUGGGAGUGGGUUUUACCAGAAGUAGUUAGCCUAACCGCAAGGGGGGCGAUUACCACGGUAGGAUUCAUGACUGGGGUGAAGUCGUAACAAGGUAAGCGUAGCGAG